UGCCAGACUCCUACGGGAGGCAGCAGUGGGGAAUAUUGCACAAUGGGGGAAACCCUGAUGCAGCGACGCCGCGUGAGCGAUGAAGUAUUUCGGUAUGUAAAGCUCUAUCAGCAGGGAAGAAGAUGACGGUACCUGACUAAGAAGCCCCGGCUAACUACGUGCCAGCAGCCGCGGUAAUACGUAGGGGGCAAGCGUUAUCCGGAUUUACUGGGUGUAAAGGGAGCGUAGACGGCGAUGCAAGCCAGAUGUGAAAGCCCGGGGCUCAACCCCGGGACUGCAUUUGGAACUGGGUGGCUGGAGUGUCGGAGAGGGAGGCGGAAUUCCUAGUGUAGCGGUGAAAUGCGUAGAUAUUAGGAGGGACACCAGUGGCGAAGGCGGCCUGCUGGACGAUGACUGACGUUGAGGCCCGAAAGCGUGGGGAGCAAACAGGAUUAGAUACCCCCGUAACC
rnacentral:rRNA from 1 species